rnacentral:rRNA from 1 species
AGUGAACGCUGGCGGCGUGCGUAACACAUGCAAGUCGAACGUGAAGGUCCCCUUCGGGGGAUGAGUAAAGUGGCAAACGGGUGAGUAACACGUGGGUAACCUGCCCUCUGGUGGGGGAUAACCCUGCGAAAGCGGGGCUAAUACCGCAUAACAAGUCGCUAAAUAAUUAGUCGACUUCAAAGCCUUCGGGCGCUAGAGGAGGGGCCCGCGUCCCAUUAGCUAGUUGGUAGGGUAACGGCCUACCAAGGCUGCGAUGGGUAGCCGGCCUGAGAGGGUGUCCGGCCACACUGGAACUGAGACACGGUCCAGACUCCUACGGGAGGCAGCAGUGGGGAAUUUUGCGCAAUGGGCGAAAGCCUGACGCAGCGACGCCGCGUGGGUGAUGAAGUUCUUCGGAACGUAAAGCCCUGUCAGGAGGGACGAAGCUCUGACGGUACCUCCAAAGGAAGCCCCGGCUAACUCCGUG